UGCCGCGUGUGUGAAGAAGGCCCUCGGGUUGUAAAGCACUUUCAGUGGGGAAGAAAGCCUUGGGAUUAAUACUCCCGAGGAAGGACAUCACCCACAGAAGAAGCACCGGCUAACUCCGUGCCAGCAGCCGCGGUAAUACGGAGGGUGCGAGCGUUAAUCGGAAUUACUGGGCGUAAAGCGCGCGUAGGCGGUCUGAUAAGCCGGUUGUGAAAGCCCCGGGCUCAACCUGGGAACGGCAUCCGGAACUGUCAGGCUAGAGUGCAGGAGAGGAAGGUAGAAUUCCCGGUGUAGCGGUGAAAUGCGUAGAGAUCGGGAGGAAUACCAGUGGCGAAGGCGGCCUUCUGGACUGACACUGACGCUGAGGUGCGAAAGCGUGGGUAGCAAACAGGAUUAGAUACCCUGGUAGUCCACGCCGUAAACGAUGUCGACUAGCCGUUGGGGUCCUUGAGACCUUUGUGGCGCAGUUAACGCGAUAAGUCGACCGCCUGGGGAGUACGGCCGCAAGGUUAAAACUCAAAUGAAUUGACGGGGGCCCGCACAAGCGGUGGAGCAUGUGGUUUAAUUCGAUGCAACGCGAAGAACCUUACCUACCCUUGACAUCGAGAGAACUUGGCAGAGAUGCCUUGGUGCCUUCGGGAACUCUCAGACAGGUGCUGCAUGGCUGUCGUCAGCUCGUGUUGUGAAAUGUUGGGUUAAGUCCCGUAACGAGCGCAACCCUUGUCCUUAUUUGCCAGCGCGUAAUGGCGGGAACUCU
rnacentral:rRNA from 1 species